rnacentral:pre_miRNA from 1 species
UGUUGUAUCAGGCGUUAUAAAUAAUUCCUAGGCAAUAUUUAGAAUGGCUGCGAGCCAUUUUUAGAACGAGUUGAGAAUUAUUUACAAUACCCUACUCAC